GUUGUAUAGUCAAGUAAUUAAGUGCAUGUGGUGGAUGCCUUGGCAGUCAGAGGCGAUGAAAGACGUGAUAGCCUGCGAAAAGCUCCGGGGAGGCGGCAAAUAUCCUUUGAUCCGGAGAUGUCUGAAUGGGGGAACCCACCUACUUUAAGGUAGGUAUUGCAACAUGAAUACAUAGUGUUGCAAGGCGAACGAGGGGAAGUGAAACAUCUCAGUACCCUUAGGAAAAGAAAUCAAUUGAGAUUCCCUCAGUAGCGGCGAGCGAACGGGGAUCAGCCCAUUAAGUUAUGUGUGUUUUAGUGGAACGCUCUGGGAAGUGCGAACGUAGAGGGUGAUAUUCCCGUACACGAAAGGGCACACAUAAUGAUGACGAGUAGGGCGAGGCACGUGAAACCUUGUCUGAAUAUGGGGGGACCAUCCUCCAAGGCUAAAUACUCCUGACUGACCGAUAGUGAACCAGUACCGUGAGGGAAAGGCGAAAAGAACCCCUGUGAGGGGAGUGAAAUAGAUCCUGAAACCGCAUGCAUACAAGCAGUGGGAGCACCUUCGUGGUGUGACUGCGUACCUUUUGUAUAAUGGGUCAGCGACUUAUAUUCAGUAGCAGGUUAACCGUAUAGGGGAGCCGUAGAGAAAUCGAGUCUUAAUAGGGCGUUUAGUUGCUGGGUAUAGACCCGAAACCAGGCGAUCUAUCCAUGAGCAGGUUGAAGGUUGGGUAACACUAACUGGAGGACCGAACCCACUGUCGUUGAAAAGCCAGGGGAUGACUUGUGGAUAGGGGUGAAAGGCUAAUCAAGCCUGGUGAUAGCUGGUUCUCCCCGAAAGCUAUUUAGGUAGCGCCUCGGACGAAUACCAUAGGGGGUAGAGCACUGUUUCGGCUAGGGGGUCAUCCCGACUUACCAAACCGAUGCAAACUCCGAAUACCUAUGAGUACUAUCCGGGAGACAGACUGCGGGUGCUAACGUCCGUAGUCAAGAGGAAAACAAUCCAGACCGCCAGCUAAGGCCCCAAAAUCAUAGUUAAGUGGGAAACGAUGUGGGAAGGCAUAGACAGCUAGGAGGUUGGCUUAGAAGCAGCCACCCUUUAAAGAAAGCGUAAUAGCUCACUAGUCGAGUCGGCCUGCGCGGAAGAUGUAACGGGGCUAAAACUAUGUGCCGAAGCUGCGGAUUUACUUAGUAAGUGGUAGGGGAGCGUUCUGUAAGCCGAUGAAGGUGUGUUGAGAAGCAUGCUGGAGGUAUCAGAAGUGCGAAUGCUGACGUGAGUAACGACAAAACGGGUGAAAAACCCGUUCGCCGAAAGACCAAGGGUUCCAGUCCAACGUUAAUCGGGGCUGGGUGAGUCGACCCCUAAGGCGAGGCCGAAAGGCGUAGUCGAUGGGAAAAUGGUUAAUAUUCCAUUACUUCUGUGUAAUGCGAUGAGAGGACGGAGAAGGCUAAAUCAGCCUGGCGUUGGUUGUCCAGGUGAAAGGAUGUAGGCAUGUAUCUUAGGCAAAUCCGGGGUACUCUAUGCUGAGAUCUGAUAGCAAGCUGUACUUGUACAGCGAAGUGGUUGAUGCCAUGCUUCCAGGAAAAGUCUCUAAGCUUCAGUUACACAGGAAUCGUACCCGAAACCGACACAGGUGGUCAGGUCGAGUAGACCAAGGCGCUUGAGAGAACUCUGCUGAAGGAACUAGGCAAAAUGGUACCGUAACUUCGGGAGAAGGUACGCUGUUGUUGGUGAUGGAACUCGCUUCCUGAGCUGACGACAGCCGCAGAAACCAGGCCGCUGCAACUGUUUAUUAAAAACAUAGCACUCUGCAAACACGAAAGUGGACGUAUAGGGUGUGAUGCCUGCCCGGUGCUGGAAGGUUAAUUGAUGGGGUUAGCGUAAGCGAAGCUCUUGAUCGAAGCCCCAGUAAACGGCGGCCGUAACUAUAACGGUCCUAAGGUAGCGAAAUUCCUUGUCGGGUAAGUUCCGACCUGCACGAAUGGCAUAAUGAUGGCGGCGCUGUCUCCAGCAGAGGCUCAGUGAAAUCGAAAUCGCUGUGAAGAUGCAGUGUACCCGCGGCUAGACGGAAAGACCCCGUGAACCUUUACUGCAGCUUGACACUGAACUUUGACCUUACUUGUGUAGGAUAGGUGGGAGGCUUUGAAGCUGGAACGCUAGUUCCAGUGGAGCCGUCCUUGAAAUACCACCCUGGUAAUGUUGAGGUUCUAACUCUGUCCCGUGAUCCGGGACGAGGACCGUGUCUGGUGGGUAGUUUGACUGGGGCGGUCUCCUCCUAAAGAGUAACGGAGGAGUACGAAGGUGCGCUCAGCGUGGUCGGAAAUCACGCGUAGAGUAUAAAGGCAAAAGCGCGCUUAACUGCGAGACCCACAAGUCGAGCAGGUACGAAAGUAGGUCUUAGUGAUCCGGUGGUUCUGUAUGGAAGGGCCAUCGCUCAACGGAUAAAAGGUACUCUGGGGAUAACAGGCUGAUACCGCCCAAGAGUUCAUAUCGACGGCGGUGUUUGGCACCUCGAUGUCGGCUCAUCUCAUCCUGGGGCUGAAGCAGGUCCCAAGGGUAUGGCUGUUCGCCAUUUAAAGAGGUACGCGAGCUGGGUUUAGAACGUCGUGAGACAGUUCGGUCCCUAUCUACCGUGGGCGCUGGAAAUUUGAGAGGAUCUGCUCCUAGUACGAGAGGACCAGAGUGGACGAACCUCUGGUGUACCGGUUGUGACGCCAGUCGCAUCGCCGGGUAGCUAUGUUCGGAAGGGAUAACCGCUGAAAGCAUCUAAGCGGGAAGCCUACCUCAAGAUAAGAUUUCCCUAGGACUUUAUGUCCUCUAAAGAGCCGUUCGAGACUAGGACGUUGAUAGGUUGGAUGUGGAAGCAUAGUGAUAUGUGAAGCUGACCAAUACUAAUUGCUCGUGAGGCUUGACUAUACAACACCCAAGCAGUUG
rnacentral:rRNA from 1 species